AGAGCGAGACCCUGUCUCCAAAAAAAAAAAAAAAAGAAAGAAAGAAAGAAAAAGAAAAAAUUAUCUUCUUAUCCCGCUCUUCUCAGGCAUUAAUGAGCUUAUCUGGUAUACUGAAGGAUUUAGCUUAACCCACAAUAUAUGCCUGAGUAGAUUCUUUGGCAGUAUUACCUUGUGUGAUGUGUCAAUUCCUUGGCAAUGAUUCACGCACGCGUGCACACACACACGCACACAGAGCAAGCACAGCAAUACGCAUUUGUGUCAUCUGUUGGGGACCAAGGUUCACAAAUAGCAAAACACACAGCAUCAUCCGGGGCUGGAGCAAGUGAGCAGCCUGGGAGGAGAGGGGUCACAUGAGCAGCUUGGCUCAGCUGACCCUGGAGCCAGUUCCCUCAGGUUUCCCAGAGCACAGCCUGGCUGAGACUGAAGGCGGCUUAUCCAUCUUGAAUUCUGAGGAAACAGAGACCCAGGGCGUAGGUUUCUGCAAGAGUCACAGGCUCGUGGGAACAAAGUCAAAGUCACUGGGAGAAAACCGGGCUGACUGUGGGACUGGAACUGGAGAGCAUUUCUGGAUUCAGUCCUCUAAAAGGUGCCUCUUGCAUGGUGGCCUGACAUGUCAACGUGCCCAGGAGUCUGUGACAGGCAGCCAGGUGCCUCAAUCCCACUGCCUGGGGGGCCAGGGCUGGGCUGGGACUCACCAUAUUCUGGAAGUCGCACAAACUCCGAGGGCUCGCUGGGAAGGCUGAUUCCCCAGGGGUUACUGGCACUGACUCUGAACUGAUAAGGACACCCGGGACUAAGGUCUUCGAUGACGAGGCCUCAGCCUCCCACUCUGUAAAAUGGGAUUGAUCAUCCCUGUCUGGGUGAUCGAGCAUGUUAAGUAGGGAUACAUGCAUGAAGACACCUUGAAACCUGCCCUGGGUCAUAAAUAUGUCAGGGAGGUUUGGAUCAUCUUAGCCAAAACAGCUGCUCGACAUCUGGGAUCAGAAGGCAGCUGUAAUCUGGCACUGAGGCCUCUGUGCUGAGUUGGAAGACACAACAAGGAACAACUUCUGAAAGAUGAGGAGGCUAAUAUGUUCACAAUUCUGAAGGACCUCCUAGAGACGAAGAGAAGACAGAAAAACAAGAGCAGGAGGCCGGGCGCGGUGGCUUACGCCUGUAAUCCCAGCACUUCCGGAGGCUGAGGCAAGUGGACUGUUUGCGCUCAGGAGUUUCACAGCAGCCAGCAGCCUGGGCAGCAUAGUGAGACCCUGUCUCUACUAAAAAUACAAAAAUUAGCCGGGUGUGGUGGUGUGCGCUUUAGUCCCAGCUACUCAGGAGGCUGAGGUGGGAGGUUGGCUUGAGCCCAGGAGGUGGAGGCUGCAGUGAGCCCACAUUGCACCACUGCACUCCAGCCUGGGUUGAUGGAGCCAAACCCUGUCUCAAAAAAAAUAAACAAUAAAAAUAAAGGAAAAUAAAAGUGGCUCAUGCCUGUAAUCCCAGCACUUUGGGAGGCCAAGGUGGGAGGAUCACGUUAGCCCUGGCGUUUGAGACCAGCCUGGGCAAUAUAGCAAUAGCCUGUCUCUAUUCAAAUUUUUGAAAAAAUGGUUAGCAUGGUAAAUUUUAUUAUGUGUGUUUUACUGCAAUUUUAAAAAUAAAUGUUUUAAAAGAAGAGAAAAGAAAAAGAAGAGCAGGAGAUAGUGCACC
rnacentral:lncRNA from 1 species